AGUGUUAUCAGAGCACAGUAGCUGAGGUCCCCUGGCAGGAGCUAGGAGGAAAGAGUUUUCCAGUGGAGCUGGAGCUGUGAAGACAGAGUUGCUGCCCUGCAGCAAAGAGAGAGUUGGGGAGAAGUAUCCUGGCUUCUCCCUUUCUCCUACCCUCCAGUCUUGUCCCUGUGCCUCCCAUUGGCUGAACCAAGCCAGAAGCCAGUUGACUGAAGAGAUCGGCCUGCAGGGGUUUACUCAGGAAUUUAGUGACUAGAACACUGUAUGUGGGAAAGUUGCUAUCUGUGGCCAUGCAAAGAGCUUCAUAGUGUUUUUCAUCGUUUAUUUUAACAUUCAUAACUGGCAAAGUGAUUUCAUUGAUUGUCUUCAUACCUGAUUUUCCUGUUCUGGAGGCUUGCAAGUCCAAGAUCAAGGUGCCGGCAGAUUCAGUGUCUGAGGCUGCCAAAAAUAUACAUAGUUGUAUAUUUUUUUGGUUGUGGGUCCUUCCAGUUGUGGCAUGUGGGAUGCUGCCUCAGCAUGGCCUGAUGAGCGGUGCCAUGUCUGCGCCCAGGAUCCGAACCGGCGAAACCCUGGGCCGCUGAAGUGGAGCUCGCAAACUUAACCACUUGGCCAGGGGGCCGGCCCCUAUGAUAACGUUUAUU
rnacentral:lncRNA from 1 species